rnacentral:rRNA from 1 species
AGUCGAGCGGUAACAUUUCUAGCUUGCUAGAAGAUGACGAGCGGCGGACGGGUGAGUAAUGCUUGGGAACAUGCCUUGAGGUGGGGGACAACCAUUGGAAACGAGGCAAUACCGCAUAAUGUCUACGGACCAAAGGGGGCUUCGGCUCUCGCCUUUAGAUUGGCCCAAGUGGGAUUAGCUAGUUGGUGAGGUAAAGGCUCACCAAGGCGACGAUCCCUAGCUGGUUUGAGAGGAUGAUCAGCCACACUGGAACUGAGACACGGUCCAGACUCCUACGGGAGGCAGCAGUGGGGAAUAUUGCACAAUGGGCGCAAGCCUGAUGCAGCCAUGCCGCGUGUGAAGAAGG